ACGGCGAGUGAAGCGGGAAGAGCUCAAAUUUGUAAUCUGGCACCUUCGGUGUCCGAGUUGUAAUCUCGAGAAGUGUUUUCCGCGCCGGACCGCAUACAAGUCUGUUGGAAUACAGCGUCAUAGUGGUGAGAACCCCGUAACUGAUGCGGAUGCCCGGUGCUUUGUGAUACACUUUCGAAGAGUCGAGUUGUUUGGGAAUGCAGCUCAAAUUGGGUGGUAAAUUCCAUCUAAAGCUAAAUAUUGGCGAGAGACCGAUAGCGAACAAGUACCGUGAGGGAAAGAUGAAAAGCACUUUGGAAAGAGAGUUAACAGUACGUGAAAUUGUUGGAAGGGAAACGCUUGAAGUCAGACUUGCUAUUUGGAAUUCAGCCGCAAGGUGUACUUUUCAAUUCGCAGGCCAGCAUCAGUUUUCGGGGGUGGAAAAGGGUAGAGAGAAGGUAGCAAUUUCGGUUGUGUUAUAGCUCUUUGCUGGAUUCAUCCUUGGGGACUGAGGAACGCAGCACGCUUUUUGCAAGGCUUUCGAGCUUUUCGUGCUUAGGAUGCUGGUGGAAUGGCUUUAAACGACCCGUCUUGAA
rnacentral:rRNA from 1 species